rnacentral:ncRNA from 1 species
UGAAGUAUGCAAUAAUAGCUUUCCAAGUGCUUUGGUGUUCCCUCGGAGUAUCCGGGGCAUGUUUAGGAAACUAAACAUAAAACUGAAGAAAUUCACUUGGUUAGACGCUACUUCA